rnacentral:precursor_RNA from 1 species
UUGGAAUCAUUGUGGAUCAGUUGUUUGUUACAAAAACUGAUCUACAUUGUUUCCAGCCA